rnacentral:lncRNA from 1 species
CCUGGCUCAAAAGCUCCCCUACUGAGUACCUUGUGACCCCCACUCCUGCCCGCCAGAGAACAACCCCCCUUUUUCCUUUACCUACCCAAAUCCUAUAAAACAGCCCCAUCCUAUCUCCCUUCGCUGACUCUCUUUUCGGACUCAGCCCGCCUGCACCCAGGUGAUUAAAAGCUUUAUUGCUCACACAAAGCCUGUUUGGUGGUCUCUUCACACGGACGCGCAUGAAAGAAAUUACUUUUUUUCAAGAAUGAGUUCAUGUCCUUUGCAGGGACAUGGAUGAAGCUGGAAGGCACCAUUCUCAGCAAACUAACACAGGAACAGAAAACCAAACACCGCAUGUUUUCACUCAUAAAUAAUACAUGAAGCCGGGCACAGUGGCUCACACCUGUAAUCCCAGCACUUUGGAAGGCCGAGGCGGGCAGAUCACCUGAGGUCAGGAGUUCAAGACCAGCCUGGGCAACAUGGAGAAACCCCGUCUCUACUAAAAAUACAAAAAUUAGCUGGGUGUGAUGGCACGAGCCUGUAAUCCCAGCUACCUGGGAGGCUGAGGCAUGAAAAUCUCUUGAACCUGGGAGGGGAGAUCGCGCCACUGCCCUCCAACUUGGGUGACAGAGUGAGGCUCCAUCUCAAAAAAAAGAGUACAUGAAAAGUUCCCAAAUCAUAAAUCAAAAAAAAUUGUUUGAAAGUUUAUUUACAACCAACAUCUCAUUUCCCCGUAAGUCUCCAUUUCUUCUCAUAUGCACUGCAGAUAACAAAACCAUUGUAAACUCUAUUUUUCUCCCCUUCUCACUGUGAUGUUUCAUAAGUAAAACCUAGAUUUUCCCAGUGCAGACCUCCAUUUUACUCUUGAAGACAUAGGUCUGGUAACUUGUGGCUAGGAAAAUGAGGAAUAGAAAAAUAAACAUUUUGAUGCCUGAUUGUUUGAUAUUUUAAACAAUUGAUUUUGAGAGUAUUAAUAUUUUUAAAAAGAUAGUAAAAAAUGGAAUUUAUGUGUGCCAAAUCAUUUUUGUAAUCAGGCCUUCUUACACACACAAUAAUAUACACACAUGCACUUAUAUACACAGUUCUAGUUUUUGUUCCUGUGUUGUUUACUAUGGCAUUAAGAUAUAAUCAAAAUAAAUGAUUUGAAUGUCCAUGAAGAGAGAUGAUUGACUAAGUCACUAGUCACGGGAUGCAUUUUCAUUACCUAUUAAAAGAUUUAUGUUACAUAAAAAUAAUUUAUCAAAAAACCAGUAGGGACUCAUUGGGGAAAAAAGUAUCACCUGUAUGCAUAAUUUGUAGAUAUUUGUGAGAGACUGUACCAAAUUUUUACUUGAGAUUUAAAAUUAAGUUCAUACACUUUUUAAUAUUUCACUUACUGUAAUUGCAUGUGUUACAUUGACAUUUAAAUGUAAACUUCCAGUAAAAAGAAAAAUAAGAAAGUAAGUUAAUAAAUGAGUGUAUGUGUUGGAAGGGAAAGGAAUUUUGAGAGCAGUCUGAGCUCUCUGCUGAUCUCUUGGUCUAACACAAUGGAAUGGGAUGUGCACCCGUGGAGUAAAUCUUUGGACCUACCUCACCUAGCACACAUAACACAUUAGGAAUUAAUCACAACAGUUCUGGUCCAGAUAAUAUAUCAUGAUCCAUAUUUGAAUACAAAAUCUUUCUUCCCAUAUUAGUAGGGUGUAGAAUAUGAGAAUUGCACCAAUGCCUUGAGAUUUUAGCAAAUAUUAAUAACAAGAGGUCUGGGAUUUUGGUACUUGGCACCCUAGGCUGACCUCAGCAUUAUCAAGGUGAGUAUUUGUGCCAGUAACUCAAGUGGUUUUGAGAGCAGCAGAUAAAAAACAUAGUGGAUAUAUGUAAUAGCUAACAAGACUUUUGUGUGAACACGAGGGAUCUUCAAGAGGUACUGCAAAAUAAUUAGAUGUGUGUGUUUGUGUAUUGCUGUGUGCCUGUUGGUGUGUGCAUCAGUGUGUUUUAGUGGAAAUGAAAAUUUCACAAUACUAUGUGAGGACAAGUGUCAGUGAAAUUAAGAACUAUGAAGUUAAUCAACACAAACCAAUUUCGAACUCUCAGUGGGUAGGCCUAGGAAACAUUGUUCACAAAUGUAAAAUUGAUUUGAUUGAAUUUUUACUUGAAAAAGAAAUGUUGCUUUUAUUAUAAAAUGAUUCUGUUCAAUAGAAAAGAGAAAGGAAGUGAAUUCCUUUACACAUUGAAAAAUUUUAGUUAUUACUAUUUACCUGGCACUUAAUUCCUUAAUCUCUAAGUUAUUACUAUAUUGAUUUAAAUAUUAUUAUACAAUUGUGUAGAUUUUAGAAAUUCUUCAACUUUGAAAUAUAGGAAAUUCAUCAAUGGAAAAGCCCAGAGCUGAUAGAAAUUUUCAUUAGAAUCAACCUUAUUUAAUUUCUAUUUGAGUUUCUACUAUUUGCUUUGCACUGAGUUGGGAGCUCAUUAUCCAGUAGAAUGCACCAGACAGGGUAGGCUGUUAUACAAACUGGAAAACAGCACCAUCAGCAUUCACGGGGAGAUCCCAGCAAAGUGUGUGAGGUCAGGAAAGACUACUUUCAGGAAUGGCCUUUGAGAUGAGGCAUGAGUGAUGGGCAAUUGUGGAGGAAGAGUGCUCCAGGUAAAUGAACUAUCAUUUGAGAAACACAAAGGAAUAAAAAAUGUGUGAGGCACAGGGAGGGGCAAGGAUAAAAACAAGGAACAAGGAAGAAGAACCUUGGGUCAUGGAGGCCAUACUGAAGUCACUGUUCUCCUUCAUAAAAGCAAAAUACAGACCCUGAAGAGAGGGAGAGAGAGAGAGAAACUCUGUGUGUGUGUGUGUGUGUGUGUGUGUGUGUGUGACAGAGAGAGAGAAAGAGAGCGUAGCGUGUGUGUGACAUAGAGAGAGAGAGACAGAGACAGAGAAAUUGAAAUAUAAUACAUAGUGUAUUAUAGGUUCUCGACUAAUUUUCCCAAGCAUCUCUUUGAGCUGCUGGGGAAAUACGUAUAAAAGUUUGUCCCAAGAGAGAGAAAAAAAAGUUUCUGUGUGAGGAAAAAGAAUUUAAAAACCACACAAACACCAUACACAGGGUAAGCGAUACAAGAAUGAUGAUUCUUUUAAUGACCAACAUAAGUAAAGAUAAAGAGAUUAUGCGAAAUACAGGAAAGUAUCUAGUAUUGCUGUCAGAGAGAAAACUGCAUGAAAUAUGUAUUUCAUAGUUCUAUUGUUUAAAUACAUCUUAUCUAUGUGAUUUAGAAAUAAGCAUUUAAACUACAGUGUAACAACUUGCGAGUUAUUUUGGUCUUGAGGGUGCAUGUGUCUUAAGAAGUUGCCAAUGUUAUGCAUUCCACUUUACUGCUUGUGAGGCUUAGAGCAAAUUAUCACAUUUGCUUAGAGCAAAUUGAUUUUUUCAUUCAUAUUAAUAGUAUCUAUUUAAUAAAUUUGAUUUAAUGAUUAGACAUAUUUUAAGAAAAAUGCACAUUACGUAGGAGGCACUUGGUGUAUGUCAGGUGUACUAUUGCUUUAUUAAUUAAAAAAAUAUUUUUCCUAGUACUGUCUUGAUCUGAGUGGUAUAAUUACUUCUUAUGCAUAAACAUAGAGAAUGAAAAUUUUGCAGAGAUGUUAUCAUUUUAUCCCACUACUUUUCCUUACAUGUUUUAUAAAACUGUAUAAAAUAUUUAUUUUAUCACUCUACUGUUUAAAUACAUCUUAUCUAUGUGAAUUAUGAAUAUGCAUUUAAACUAAACACUGUAACAACUUGUAAAUCAUUUUGGUCUUCAGGGCACAUGUGUCUUAAGAAGUUGCCAAAAAAAUGCAUAAGGCUUUUCUAGCAUCUCAGGUGAAAUUAGGAAUAUUUAAUUACAUGUCAUUGAACAUUAACAAAAUAAUGUAAAGGUAUGCCAUGCAAAAUGCACUUAAAUUGUAUUCUUGCUUUAUAUAGAACACAAUAUCCAAAUAGGGAAAACUGCUUAAAUUAACCAAGUAACUAGCAUUCAUGUAUCAUAACAUUUAUUUUUCCUAUUUAUUGUUUGGAAUUAGAAGUUUUCUCAUAGUAUAAAAAUGUUAAAUCAUAGUGAUUUUGCUUUUGCAUGUGGAAACAUAAUCAGAAUCUCUAACUACCAACAAAGAUCAAAAGUGCCAUUUUCUCUCAAAAGUCUACAUAUGUUUGUAAGGAGGGAAUUUUCAUGAAGGCAUGAAUUUUACUUUUAUGAUUAUCACUUGCUGUAUAAGAAACUACUUUAUUCAUAUAUUUGUUGUCUGCAUAAAUGUCUUCUUUUGAGAAGUGUCUGUUCAUAUCUUUUGCCCACUUUUUGAUAGGGUUGUUUUUUUCUUGUAAAUUUGUUUAAGUUCUUUAUAGAUUCUGGAUAUUAGCCCUUUGUCAGAUGGAUAGAUUGCAAAAAUUUUCUCCCAUUCUGUAGAUUACCUGUUCACUUUGAUGAUAGUUGUUUUUUUUUUGUUGUUGUUUUUUGUUUGUUUUUGUUUUUUUUGGCUGUGCAGAAGCUCUUUAGUUUAAUUAGACCCCAUUUGUCCAUUUUGCUUUUGUUGCCAUUGCUUUUGGUGUUUUAGUCAUGAAGUCUUUGCCCAUGCCUAUGUCCUGAAUGGUAUUGCCUAGGUUUUCUUCUAGGGUUUUUAUGGUUUUAGGUCUUAGGUUUAAGUCUUGAAUCCAUCUUGAGUUAAUUUUUGUAUAAGGUGUAAGGAAGGGAUCAAGUUUAAGCUUUCUGCAUAUGACUAGCCAGUUCUCAACACCAUUUAUUAAAUAGGGAAUCCUUUCCCCAUUGCUUGUUUUUGUCAGUUUUGUCAAAGAUUAGAUGGUUGUAGAUGUGUGGUGUUAUUUCUGAGGUCUCUGUUCUGUUCCAUUGGUCUGUAUAUCUGUUUUGUUACUAGUACUAUGCUGUUUUGAUUACUGUAGCCCUGUAAUAUAGUUUGAAGUCAGGUAGUGUAAUGCCUCCAGCUUUGUUCUUUUUGCUUAGGAUUGUCUUGGCUGUGUGGGCUCUUUUCUAGUUCCAUAUGAAAUGUAAAGUAGUUUUUUUCCGAUUCUGUGAAGAACGUUAAUGGUAGUUUGAUGGGGAUAGCAAUGAAUUUUCACAAUAUUUAUUCUUCCUAACCAUGAGCAUGGAAUGUUUUUUUCAUUUGUUUGUGUCCUCUCUUAUUUCUUUGAGCAGUGGUUUGUAAUUCUCCUUGAAGAGGUCCUUCAGAUCCCUUGUAAGUUGUAUUUCUAGCUAUUUUAUUCUCUUUGUAGAAAUUUUGAAUGGGAGUUCACUCAUGAUGUGGCUGGUCAUUAGAGAAAUGCAAAUCAAAACAAUAAUGAGAUACCAUCUCAUGCCAGUUGGAAUGACGAUCUUAAAAAGUCAGGAAACAACAGAUGCUGGAGAAGAUGUGGAGAAAUAGGAAGGCUUUUACCCUGUUGGUGGGAGCGUAAAUUAGUUCAACCAUUGUGGAAGACAGUGUGGUGAUUCCUCAAGGAUCUAGAACCAGAAAUACCAUUUGACCUAGCAAUCCCAUUAAUGGGUAUAUACCCAAAGGAUUAUAAAUCAUUCUACUAUAAGGACACAUGCACACAUAUGUUUAUUGCAGCACUGUUCACAAUAGCAAAGACUUGGAACCAACCCAAAUGUCCAUCACUGAUAGACUGGAUUAAGAAAAUGUGGCACAUAUACACCAUGGAAUACUAUGCAGGCAUAAAAAAGGAUGAGUUCAUGUCCUUUGCAGGGACAUGGAUGAAGCUGGAAACCAUCAUUCCCAGCAAACUAACACAAGAAUAGAAAACCAAACACCCCAUGUUCUCACUCUUUGGUGGGAGCUGAACAAUGAGAACACAUGGACACAGGGAGAGGAUCAUCACACUCCAGGGCCUGUGGGGGGUAGGGGGUUAAGGGAGGGAUAACAUUAGGAAAAAUACCUCAUGUAGGUGGCGGGUUGAUGGUGGCAGCAAACCACCAUGGCACAUAUAUACCUCUGUAACAAACCUGCACGUUCUGCACAUGUAACCCAUAACAAAGUAGAACACACAAAAAAAGUCAAAAAAUAAAAGAUGCUGGAGAGGUUGUGGAGAAAAGAGAACACUUACACAGUCUUGGCAGGUGUGUAAAUAAGUUCAACCAUUGUGGGAAGAAAUGUGGCGCUUCUUCAAAGAGCUAAAAACAGAAAUUUGACCCAACAAUCCUAUUAUUGGGUCUAUACUCAAAACAAUAUAAAUCAUUCUACUAUAAAGACAUACACAUGAAUAUUCAUUGCAGCACUCUUUACAAUAGCAAUGACAAGGAAUCAACCCAAAUGCUCAUCAAUGACAGACUGGAUAAAGAAAAUGUGUACAUAUACACCAUGGAAUAAUGUACACUAUGUAGCCAUAAAAAUAAGAGGCCAGGCGCCAUGGCUCACGCCUGUAAUCCCAGCACUUUGGGAGGCUGAGGCGGGUGGAUCACGAGGUCAGGAGUUUGAGACCAGCCUGACCAACACGGUGAAACCCCAUCUCUACUAAAAAUACAAAAAUUAGCCGGGCGUAUUGGCGGGUGCCUGUAAUCCCAGCUAUUCAGGAGGCUGAGACAGGAGAAUCCCUUGAACCCAGGAGGCGGAGGUUGCAGUGAGCCAAGAUCAUGCCAUUGCACUCCAGCCUGGGCCAUAGAGCAAGACUCCAUCUCCAAAAAUAAAUAAAUAAAUAAAUAAAUAAAUAAAUAAAUAAAUAAAUAAAGGAAGAAGAACAAGAGUAUGUCUUUUAUUGAAACAUGGAUGGAACUGGAGGCUAUUAUCCUUAGCAAGCUAACACAGGAACAGAAAAACAAAUACCGCAUAUCUUCACUUAGAAGUGGGAGCUAAAUGAUAAGAACACAUGGACACAAAGAAGGGAAUGACAGACACUGGCGCCUACUGGAGGGUGGAGGGUGACAAGAGGGAGAGGAACAGAACUAAAGUUAAGCCUCAAAGUUAAGCUUCAAUCACCCACAGUGGUAGCUGUUUUCACAAAUUCACUUACAUUAGCCAUUAUUUUUCUGUCUCUUCUCAUAUCACCUUCGCUCCCAAAGCAUUAUAUAUCCCACCUUUGUAACAGACGCAUUUCACACAGAUCUUUGCUUCUGGGAAAUUCAAUCAUAGACACACCCUCUGUACUCUUUCUUUUGUGGGCCAUUGAUUAAGAUCUGCUGGGCAGCUUAAUACUGUUCCGUGGAUUAUCAACAGGGAAGCUCUACUGGUCCCUGAGGAUCUACAUUCAAGUUGACUAUGGCUGGCAGCUGUUUGCUGGAUUGACUCUUCCAGUAGGCAGCGGGGAGGUUCCUCUCCAUAGGGAUUUCUCUAUAGGCUGCUUGUGCUUUCUCACGGCAUGAUGGCUGGACUCCAGGAGACAGAACUGGGCCUGGAAACUAGCACAGAGUCACUUCUGCCAUAAAAUUCUCACAGCAGUCCAAAACUCUGAUCAGAUUCAAGAGGAGGUUAGAGAAAACAUCCUGAAUGCCACUGUGAACACUCUUAUUGACUUCUCUCAGAUUUUCUCAUUGUUACAUAAAGGGAUGUAUUGUUACAUGAAGUUCUUUCAGCCUUCGUUAAAACUCUCUAGAAGCAUUCUGUAUUAGGACUACAAUCAGCAGUCAUGGUUUGUAUGCUUCAUAAUCAUUUCACUGGGUUUACUUUUCAAUAUCCCUAGGGUAUUAAUCUUUUGAAAACUCACUUGCAGUGGAGAUGAUUCCAUUGUAAAAUGUUUCUUCAUUCCCAAUAGCACAAUAUAGUAAGUAGUAGGUCUAUUUUCAUGCUGUAUCAACUAAUUUGCAAUCAUAGCAGAUCUUAAGAUUUCUUCUUCCAAGAUGUCUUAACCUGCCAGGGGUUAUAUUCAUUCAAUUAAUGUUUGCUGUGUGAAUUAAUUCCAUUGUGGUUUUGCUAACUCCUAUUUUACUAAAAGUCUCCUUGAACCAGAGUGUCAUGUUGUUUGUUUCUUGACAUCUAAUGAGAGGUCAGAGGAAAUGAUUUCUGAGAUACCUUCUUAACCUUUCAAAGUCCAACAUAUUUUAUGCUACUGUCUCAAACUAAUUUUUUUAACCAAGGCAUUAAAUUGAAAAUACCACAGAGGGUUAUUAUGAAAAUAUUUACUUUUCUCAAAACAUGUGAAAAUAUGAUGUUUUAAACUUUGUGGGAAAGGUAUUGUUUACAGCAGGAUUGAGAGGAAAGCAAUUAGAUUUUUAAUCCUGCUCUCUCACUCCCUUUAUAAAAUUGGAAAAUUUAUUUAAAAAUUUUGUGCCUCAGUUUCUUCAUCAGCAAAACUGUUAACACAUACAACUCUGUGUAUGUACAUGUAUGUUUAUAAUCAGUCACACUAAAUAAUGCACCUAUGAAUGCAGGAUUUAUUUAUUAAUUAUUUCACAGUUUACAAGAAUAUGUAGUUCAUUCAAAAUUAUUACAAAUGAAAAAUAAUUCAUAUAGACACAGGAUCAUAUAGUCUGACAUAAAUUGACAACAGAUGUGAAGAUAUUGUUGAUGCUUGGUUCUGACAAUGGACAAAGCAAAGCUAAAGUUAAAUCUAAUCUUCGAUUAUUUCAUGUUGCUGUGCUUUCAAAGGCAAAGCAGGGGAAGUCAUGCCACAGGGCAAGAGCUAAAGCAAGACAGAGAAGGGGAAGGUCCAGACUCCUUAAACCACCAGAUCUCACAUGAGCUAACUGAGCAAGGACUCACUCCUUAUCUUCGGGAUAGGACUAAGGCAUUCAUGAGGGACCAGUUGUCAUGACCCAAACACCUCCCACUAAGCCCACUGCCAAAUUGGAGGUCACAUUUCAAUGUAAAAUUUGAAGGGGACAAAACAUCCAAACCCAUCUCAUUAAUAUCCAUACCCAUUCUGUUCUUCAGACAUCUGCUGAUAUAAAUUAGAAAAUUCAAGCAGUUCUUUUGGAGCAUAGACCUGCUCGUGGGUAGCGCUCUUAGCCACACUUCCACACUUCCAGGGGCCUGCUGGGACUUGAGUCUAGUUACAGGUCUAGAAGCAAAGAAGGGUGAUGGGGGUGGUCCCUGAGGAGAAUCAGCAUUGACUUGUCUGGCAACUGUCUCAGGGGAAGCUAUUACUAUUUCCUCAGGCAAUGCAGGGUUAAUAUCCUCAGAAAAAGGUGGAAAAGCUGAUACCAUUCUGGGUCAGGGAGGGGAUGUUGCCAUCAUGGAAUGUAGAGAGGUCUCUUCCUCUGGCAAAAUUAGCUCAUCAGAAUUUAGGAGCUCUGUGUCCCCAGCUUCAUCAGGGUCCUCCCAUAUAUCUCCAUUCCAAAUUACAGGGUCCAUUUUUUUCCCAGCCAAUGCUCUCACUUUAACAGUAAACACUCAGCAAGGCUGAGAGUUCACCAUUUGUUGUUAGCCAGCCACUCACAGAUAAGAGCUUGUGUUUGAUUUUUCAGAAAUUUAAACCCUUUGUCUACAGAAGAGAAGAUUCUCACUGGGCACCCUUAGAAACUUUUAGGCUAGGUAUGUGCCUCUGCAGCAAGGAGUUAGAAUCCCUUAGCUCAUCUUUAUCUUUCUUCACUUUGUCCAGUGAACUUAGGACCAACCAACUUCAUUAUUUCUUGGUUUUCCACAAAUGUUCGAAAGUAUCACGUAUACAGUCACUAAAUUCCUUUCUUCUCAGUAGUAGUGAACCAAAAGUAUCACAUGCAUUUAUUUUGCAUAACUCUAAAAACAGCUCAAGCUAGGGACUGUCAAUGUUCUCUGUACUAUUAGAAGCAGAGUCCUUAGAGUUUUUAGGUUUAGUCAAAUUAGAGAGCCAACUUCUAAAACCCAAAACCAACUAAGGAAAUUCAUCCUUAAACUUCUAUUUCCCUAGAACCUGUAUAAGCCAGUUCCUCAUAUCAAAAUCUGUAUUAGUCACAGUUCUCCAGAGAGGCAGACACAAUAGGAUGUACACACACACACACACACACACACAUAUAUAUAUAUGUUUAUUAGGUAAUAGAUUUAUUAUAUAAGUUAAAGGUCUACAGGCAAAGAGGUGUGGUGAGGUUGAAUCCUGAGGAGAAGCAGCAUUAUCUUGCCUGGCAACUGCCUCAGGAGAGGCUAUUGCUAUUUUCUCAGGCAAACAUUUAUAUAUAUAUAUAAAAGUUUAUUAGGGAGAAUUGGCUCACAGAAUUACAAGAUAAUGUUCCAAAAUAGGUAAUCUGUAAGCUGGGGAAAGAGAGAAGCCAGUAGCCUGGCUCAGUCCAAGUCCCAAGUCUGAAAGCCUUAAAACCAGGGAAAUUGACUGUGCAGCCAUCAGUCUGAGGUAGAAUGCCCAAGAGUCAUGCACCCGAGAUGGGUGCACUUCUCAGCAUCUGAAGGUCAAACAACCUGGAGUCUGAUGCCCAAGGGCAGGAGGAGAGGAAGCAAACCAUCUGGCACAGUGGGGAAAGAGAGAUAGCAAGCAGACCCAGCAAGCAAGCUACUUAUCACCUUCUUCUACCUGCUUUAUUCUACAUGCACUGGGAGCCAAUUCAAUGGUGCCCACCCACACUGAGGGCUGGUCUUCCUUUCCCAGUCCACUAACUCAAAUAUCAAUCUCCUCCAGCAAAUACCCUCACAUACACACCCAGGAACAGUGCUUCAUCAGCCAUCUAGGCUCCCUCAGUUCAGUCAAGUUGAUGCCUGUUAUUAACAACUACAGUCUUCUUUGUCCAAAAUUGCUCACAAUUGCUUUAUAAUAAAAAUUGAGUCAACUUUCAACAGGAUUUUGUAAUUGAGUUCUAUUCACUAAAUCAUCUACAGAAACAGUGGAAAUGUAAAUAAUUAGGCAAUGCUUAGAUAAAUAAUUGCUCCUCUGAGCAAUUGUCUUUCAUAAACCCAUCAAAAGCAAUGUUUUAUAAAGUACAUAAUGCCAUAAAUUACAUGAAGAUGAUAACUUAUGAAAAAGCAAGAAAUAUGUCAUCUGAAAAGGUUUUAAAUGUAUACAGAGCCAGGCACAGUAAUAGAAAUUUCACAUCUUCUUACUUAUGGGGGUCUGACUCACAGACCCUGACCCAACAACAGAUGAAUAAAGUACACUGACACACAGAUAUUCUGCUUUGUCAGUCCAACUGAGCGUCCGGGCCCCUUAACAGAUUCCAAGCAGAGUGCUGUAAACAGUUGCAACCACAGCCCUGACCAGCCAGUGAGACUCACAUUUAUUUAGUAAGGAUUAAUUGACAAAGGCUUGAGACAACCCCACUAGAGGGUAAUUGAUAUUGCAGACUUCCGGAGUAGAAAGCAAUUAAGCACCCGUGGUAGAUCAAAGGUUAGUCUUAGGACCACAUGAGUAAACAAGCUAGUUAGACAAACUCCCCACAUUCCUUUGUUUCUACUCUAAUUUAUUUAAUUAAAGGGACAAGGCUGCCUUCAGCCAAGUACUAUAUGUAAAAACUCCCAGGCCUUCCUAAAGGGUUUGUGUAUAUUCUCUGUAGCUAAAAUUUUUCCCACCAUCAUGACUGAACCCCCACAAUCACUUAUUUGUUGGAGCUAAAAAUUAAAACAAUUGAACCCCUGGUGAUAGAGAGUGGAAUGAUGGUUAGGGAUGGUCAAUGGGUACACAAUAUAAUUAGGAAGAAUGAAUAAGAUCUAAUAUUUGAUAACACAACAGAGUGACUGCAGUCAACAAUAACUUACUGUACAUUUAAAAAUAACUAAAAGAGUAUAAUAGGAUUGCAUGUAACACAAAGAAUGGACAAAUUCUUGAGGUAAUGGAUACUCUAUUUACCCAGAUGUGAUUAUUGUGCAUUGUACACCUGUAUAAAAAUAUCUCAUGUACCCCAUAAAUAUGUAUACCUAC